UAGAAUGAAGCUCGCUGGAUAGAGCGUUUAGCUGUUAACUAAUUUAUUAUGGGAUCAAGGCCCAUCAUUCUAG
rnacentral:tRNA from 1 species